ACUUUUAGUAGAGACGGGGUUUCACCGUGUUAGCCAGGAUUGUCUGGAUCUCCUGACCUCGUAAUCCACCCACCUGGCCUCCCAAAGUGCUAGGAUUACAGGUGUGAGCCACGGCGCCCUGAGGACUGGCAGACCCACCUGACUUUCUUGGAGUAGAGGAGGAAGAGGAGGAAGAAGAGGUGCAGGAGGAAGACCAGGGUGUGGCUGACAUCUAGCUGGAUGCAGUGGAUGAUUCUGGAGGACCUCUUGCCCUUCUCCUUCAUGACCUGUAGGGCGGGGCCAAGAGGAGGAAGCAGCCUCAGAACAGACAAAAGACUCCCUGCCCCAAACGGCAGUCAUCCCACAGUCAGCACUUCUGGAAGGAAGGAAGGAAGGUUUCCUUCUGCAGAAAGCUCCUUUUUACUUUGUUUCUGACGCCAGGGAGGGUCAGCAGAGCCCAGCGCACCUGUGGUGCCUGAGUUACCAUCUAUGCCCAGGAUGUGCG
rnacentral:antisense_RNA from 1 species